rnacentral:rRNA from 1 species
AUAGUGUGUGCUAGCGAUUGGAAAUGCUAGUCUAAGCGUUUAGGGAGUUACGGUAGGCAAAUCCGCUGUAACAAUUCUGAGGCGUGAUGGGGAAGGUCAUAUAGGCCGAAGUACAUGAUUCCAUGCUUCCAAGAAAGGCAUCUAGAGAGAGAAGUAGUGCCCGUACCGCAAACCGACACAGGUAGAUGAGGAGAGAAUCCUAAGGCCGGCGGAAGAAUUGCAGUUAAGGAACUAGGCAAAUUGACCCCGUAAGUUCGCGAGAAGGGGUGCCUGCGAGAGCAGGCCGCAGAGAAUAGGCCCAAGCAACUGUUUAGCAAAAACACAGGUCUCUGCUAAAGCGUAAGCUGAUGUAUAGGGGCUGACGCCUGCCCGGUGCUGGAAGGUUAAGGGGAACACUUAGCGCAAGCGAAGGUGUGAACUUAAGCCCCAGUAAACGGCGGCCGUAACUAUAACGGUCCUAAGGUGGCGAAAUUCCUUGUCAGGUAAGUUCUGACCCGCACGAAUGGCGUAAUGACUUGGGCACUGUCUCAACUGCAAAUCCGGCGAAGUUGUAGUGCGAGUGAAGAUGCUCGCUACCCGCGAUUGGACGGAAAGACCCCGUAGAGCUUUACUGUAGCUUAGCAUUGAAUUCCGGUAUUGUCUGUACAGGAUAGGUGGGAGACUGGGAAACUAGGGCGUCAGCCUUAGUGGAGUCAACCUUGGGAUACCACCCUGACAGUACUGGGGUUCUAACAGGACGCCAUGAAUCUGGUGACUGGACAUUGUUAGGUGGGCAGUUUGACUGGGGCGGUCGCCUCCUAAAAAGUAACGGAGGCGCCCAAAGGUUCCCUCAGAACGGUCGGAAAUCGUUCGUAGAGUGCAAAGGCAGAAGGGAGCCUGACUGCGAGACAUACAAGUCGAGCAGGGACGAAAGUCGGGCUUAGUGAUCCGGUGGUACCUCGUGGGAGGGCCAUCGCUCAACGGAUAAAAGCUACCUCGGGGAUAACAGGCUGAUCUCCCCCAAGAGUCCACAUCGACGGGGAGGUUUGGCACCUCGAUGUCGGCUCGUCGCAUCCUGGGGCUGUAGUAGGUCCCAAGGGUUGGGCUGUUCGCCCAUUAAAGCGGCACGCGAGCUGGGUUCAGAACGUCGUGAGACAGUUCGGUCCCUAUCCGUCGCGGGCGUAGGAAAUUUGAGAGGAGCUGUCCUUAGUACGAGAGGACCGGGAUGGACUGACCUCUGGUGCACCAGUUGUUCCGCCAGGAGCAUGGCUGGGUAGCUAAGUCGGGAAGGGAUAAACGCUGAAAGCAUCUAAGCGUGAAGCCUCCCUCAAGAUGAGAUUUCCCAUAGCAUAAGCUAGUAAGACCCCUUGAAGAACACAAGGUUGAUAGGUCAGAGGUGUAAGUGCGGUAACGUAUUUAGCUGACUGAUACUAAUAGGUCGAGGGCUUGACC